rnacentral:rRNA from 1 species
GUGGCGGACGGGUGAGUAACGCGUAAAGAACUUGCCUUACAGACUGGGACAACAUUUGGAAACGAAUGCUAAUACCGGAUAUUAUGACUGAGUCGCAUGAUUUGGUUAUGAAAGCUAUAUGCGCUGUGAGAGAGCUUUGCGUCCCAUUAGUUAGUUGGUGAGGUAACGGCUCACCAAGACGAUGAUGGGUAGCCGGCCUGAGAGGGUGAACGGCCACAAGGGGACUGAGACACGGCCCUUACUCCUACGGGAGGCAGCAGUGGGGAAUAUUGGACAAUGGACCAAAAGUCUGAUCCAGCAAUUCUGUGUGCACGAUGAAGUUUUUCGGAAUGUAAAGUGCUUUCAGUUGGGAAGAAGUCAGUGACGGUACCAACAGAAGAAGCGACGGCUAAAUACGUGCCAGCAGGCCGCGGUAAUACGUAUGUCGCAAGCGUUAUCCGGAUUUAUUGGGCGUAAAGCGCGUCUAGGCCGGUUUAGUAAGUCUGAUGUGAAAAUGCGGGGCUCAACCCCGUAUUGCGUUGGAAACUGCUAAACUAGAGUACUGGAGAGGUAGGCGGAACUACAAGUGUAGAGGUGAAAUUCGUAGAUAUUUGUAGGAAUGCCGAUGGGGAAGCCAGCCUACUGGACAGAUACUGACGCUAAAGCGCGAAAGCGUGGGUAGCAAACAGGAUUAGAUACCCUGGUAGUCCACGCCGUAAACGAUGAUUACUAGGUGUUGGGGGUCGAACCUCAGCGCCCAAGCUAACGCGAUAAGUAAUCCGCCUGGGGAGUACGUACGCAAGUAUGAAACUCAAAGGAAUUGACGGGGACCCGCACAAGCGGUGGAGCAUGUGGUUUAAUUCGACGCAACGCGAGGAACCUUACCAGCGUUUGACAUCCCAAGAAGUUAACAGAGAUGUUUUCGUGCCUCUUCGGAGGAACUUGGUGACAGGUGGUGCAUGGCCUGUCGUCAGCUCGUGUCGUGAGAUUGUUGGGUUAAGUCCCCCAACGAGCGCAACCCCUUUCGUAUGUUACCAUCAUUAAGUUGGGGACUCAUGCGAGACUGCCUGCGAUGAGCAGGAGGAAGGUGGGGAUGACGUCAAGUCAUCAUGCCCCUUAUACGCUGGGCUACACACGUGCUACAAUGGGUAGUACAGAGAGCUGCAAACCUGCGAGGGUAAGCUAAUCUCAUAAAACUAUUCUUAGUUCGGAUUGUACUCUGCAACUCGAGUACAUGAAGUUGGAAUCGCUAGUAAUCGCAAAUCAGCUAUGUUGCGGUGAAUACGUUCUCGGGUCUUGUACACACCGCCCGUCACACCACGAGAGUUGGUUGCACCUGAAGUAACAGGCCUAACCCGUAAGGAAGG